UACAGAGGGGGCAAGCGUUGUUCGGAAUUACUGGGCGUAAAGCGCGCGCAGGCGGUUCUUCAAGUCAGAGGUGAAAGCCCAGAGCUCAACUCUGGAAUGGCCUUUGAGACUAGAGAACUAGGGUACGGGAGAGGUGAGUGGAAUUCCGAGUGUAGAGGUGAAAUUCGUAGAUAUUCGGAAGAACACCAGUGGCGAAGGCGGCUCACUGGCCCGUUACCGACGCUCAGGCGCGACAGCGUGGGGAGCAAACAGG
rnacentral:rRNA from 1 species